rnacentral:rRNA from 1 species
CCUGAGAAACGGCUACCACAUCCAAGGAAGGCAGCAGGCGCGCAAAUUACCCACUCCCGGCACGGGGAGGUAGUGACGAAAAAUAACGAUACGGGACUCAUCCGAGGCCCCGUAAUCGGAAUGAGUACACUUUAAAUCCUUUAACGAGGACCCAUUGGAGGGCAAGUCUGGUGCCAGCAGCCGCGGUAAUUCCAGCUCCAAUAGCGUAUAUUAAAGUUGUUGCGGUUAAAAAGCUCGUAGUUGAAUCUGUGUCCCACACUGUCGGUUCACCGCUCGCGGUGUCCAACUGGCAUGUCUGUGGGACGUCCUACCGGUGGGCGCAGCCCGUCAAAAGGCGGCCCAACUCAAAAUCCUACCACGUUGCUCUUCACCGAGUGUCGAGGUGGGCCGGUACGUUUACUUUGAACAAAUUAGAGUGCUUAAAGCAGGCUCAUUCGCCUGAAUAUUCUGUGCAUGGAAUAAUGGAAUAGGACCUCGGUUCUAUUUUGUUGGUUUUCGGAACACCGAGGUAAUGAUUAAUAGGGACAACUGGGGGCAUUCGUAUUGCGACGUUAGAGGUGAAAUUCUUGGAUCGUCGCAAGACGGACAGAAGCGAAAGCAUUUGCCAAAUGUGUUUUCAUCAAUCAAGAACGAAAGUUAGAGGUUCGAAGGCGAUCAGAUACCGCCCUAGUUCUAACCAUAAACGAUGCCAGCUAGCGAUCCGCCGAAGUUCCUCCGAUGACUCGGCGGGCAGCUUCCGGGAAACCAAAGCUUUUGGGUUCCGGGGGAAGUAUGGUUGCAAAGCUGAAACUUAAAGGAAUUGACGGAAGGGCACCACCAGGAGUGGAGCCUGCGGCUUAAUUUGACUCAACACGGGAAACCUCACCAGGCCCAGACACCGGAAGGAUUGACAGAUUGAGAGCUCUUUCUUGAUUCGGUGGGUGGUGGUGCAUGGCCGUUCUUAGUUGGUGGAGCGAUUUGUCUGGUUAAUUCCGGUAACGAGCGAGACUCUAGCCUGCUAAAUAGGCGUACUUUCCGGUAUCUCGAAGGCCCGCCGGCUCGGCUUCGGCCGUUGUCGCGUGUGGUUUUUACUACCGGCGUACACAUAUAUCUUCUUAGAGGGACAGGUGGCAUUUAGUCGCACGAGAUUGAGCAAUAACAGGUCUGUGAUGC